rnacentral:rRNA from 1 species
AGAGAAUCUCGAGUUUAUGGACUUCAGGGGGAGUCUGUUCAUAAGCGCUGAAACUUAAAGGAAUUGACGGAAGGGCACACCAGGAGUGGAGCCUGCGGCUUAAUUUGACUCAACACGGGAAAACUUACCAAGACCGAACAGUAGAAGGAAUGACAGAUUAAGAGUUCUUUCAUGAUUUAUUGGGUAGUGGUGCAUGGCCGUUCUUAGUUGGUGGAGUGAUUUGUCAGGUUAAUUCCGGUAACGAACGAGACUGAAACCUAUUAAUUAGUUUCCUGCCUAUACGACAGGAAUCUCCGCAAGGUCAGGUGCCUCGGUACCACUUCUUAAAGGGACACAUUUCAAUUGUCUCAUUUUAAUCGAUGUCUCUGGCUCCGGUCAAAACUCUUUUAACGUGAGAAAAAGAAAAAGGAAGCAUUCAGCAAUAACAGGUCUGUGAUGCCCUUAGACAUCUUGGGCCGCACGCGCGCUACAAUGGAGUUACUAGAGAGUAUUUUAUCAUCCAAGCCUUAUAUUG